UUCGCAAUGCCCGAAAGGGUGACGAAGCGACGCCGCGUGUGGGAAGAAGGCCUUCGGGUUGUAAACCACUGUCGGGAGUUAAGAAAUGCAAGGAUAUUAAUAGUGUCUUUGUUUGACUAAGGCUCCGGAGGAAGCCACGGCUAACUCUGUGCCAGCAGCCGCGGUAAUACAGAGGCGGCAAGCGUUGUUCGGAAUUAUUGGGCGUAAAGAGCACGUAGGCGGCUAUGUAAGUCGGUUGUGAAAGCCUUCCGCUCAACGGAAGAACAGCAUCCGAUACUACAUGGCUUGAGUGCGGGAGGGGAGAGUGGAACUUCUGGUGGAGCGGUGAAAUGCGUAGAUAUCAGAAGGAACGCCGGCGGCGAAAGCGGCUCUCUGGCCCACAACUGACGCUGAGUGUGCGAAAGCUAGGGGAGCAAACGGGAUUAGAUACCCCGGUAGUCCUAGCCGUAAACGAUGGGCACUAAGUAGAGGGGUUUU
rnacentral:rRNA from 1 species